AAAUAUGGUGCAAAGACCCUGAGGAAAAGAUCUGGAGUAAAAAAACAGGGAUGCUAUACUGUGAUGAUGGUAUUCAGACUGAUGUGCCAUGCCAUCAAGGUGGUCGGGUCUACCUUCGUAUCAAUGAGGAUGGUCAUUCUGGGUGCAGGAAAUUUGACAUGGAAGGCAAAAAUGUCUACAUUAAUUCUUUCGAAACAGAGUGCCCACAAUCUAAAAAACUUCCACCAGCCAACCCGCCACCAUCCGACCCACAAGCCGGCAUCACCAACCCAUCAUCUGGCAAACAAGCCGGAAUCACCAACAAAGCCAGCAUUAUUGUUGUGUGUGGCGGAGUCAUUUUAUUCAUUUUCCUGGUUUGAUGUGCCAUUUGCUGGAUUAAACGGGUAUGUUCUUGAAAUGGAAUCCUUGUGUUCUCAAAUGUGAAUGAGAUGUGUGUUGUCUAUUUAAGGAAAAAACAUGAUCUCAUAUGUCGCAGACAGCAUUUAAAGUGAAAGAUCAAAAUGUGUUAAAU